AGUUUUAAUUUUUGAGAUUUAAAGUUUUUUCUUUUCUUAAUUUCUCUACAACUCUUACUAUAGGUAGAAUCUCAACUUUUGUCUUGUUUUCCUCUACCAAUUUCUAAUUUGUCAUUUUUAAAUGUACUCUCUCUACCUUGCUAUAACUUUAGGCUUUUUUUUUUCUAUUCCUUAAUCCUUUGUUCAGGACUCUGAAAUUUAAUGGUAUAGCAUCAAAAAUGAGAAUAGUGGCCAAAAACAGCAGACUUUACAACUAUAAGAACUUAUUAUCAAAUACAGAUUACAUCUUAAUUUUAUAUAAAUGAGUUUAUUUAAUUUUUUUAAAAAACCUGAAAUGUCUAUCAUAACCUAAAGGGUUAAGACAAAUAUCGUGACGACAUAAAUGUCAACUGUGGCUGGAGAUCUGUUGAUUGAGAGUCCCUAUUUUUAAUAAAUUUGCAUGGAUGUGGUAAGACUGGAAAGCAUUUUUGAGCAAACAUCAGAAUAUAUAAAUAAAUAUGAAUGUAAAGGACAUCAAAAUACCUGGGUUGGGAGGAUCAGCACAAUUUAAAAUCAGUUGAAUUUCCUAAGUAUUUAUAAGCACAUACUAAAUUCACAACAUCUAGCUGAACCCUGUGGGUACAUAAAGAUGGAAAUGCCGUAUGACAGGAGGUGUUGCAGAGAUCUCUUAUAAACUCACUGACCUGAUUCACUCAGUCCAAUUUUUUGAGCUUUAUGUAUCCCCUUCAUUAAGUGACAUGACUAUAAUAUGUGGAGGCAUCAGGGAUUUGAUGUGGACAUAUCUUUGGGAACACCCUUCAACUAACUACAGAGGUCCAAAUAGCCCUUCUCCUUGCUCUACUCCUCUGUUUAGAAAACUUUAAGGGCUUUAACCCUGUUCACUCUGGCCAACAUUUGCACCACAACUUAUCUUCUGACCUCUUCCCACAUUUUCUUUGUUACUCACUAUACCAACUACAGUGACCUUUUAUCUGCAAACAUCCCCACACAUGUUUAUUAGCACAGGUAUAUGCAUACAGAAAAAAAAAAUAACCUACUCUGAAGGAGCCUGCAGCCUAGUUUGAGAGUGUGAAAUCAGUCACUCAAUGAAACGUAGAGUGAGAUUGUGAGGCAUGAGCCAUUAACUGAACAUGACUGACCAUUGUUGAAAAGGCCUGGGGAAAUUUCAGAAAAAGCAUAGCAUUUUUACCAAACCCUAGAGAAUAAAAUAACAGUUAACUGUGAGAUGGAAAAGGAGGACGCAUGUUUCCUACUAAUAAAGAAAGAGCUGUGGAAAUCCUUGACAUAAUGUGAAUCCUAAUAUUCUGAUAGAUUCUUUUCAAGGUUUUGCUCAAUUCUUAAUUUUCAGUAAAUGUUUUACCCCAAAGCCUUGGCUCUAACAAUCUUUCACAAAAACCAGGAGAAUGGCUGUAACUGCAUGUUAACUGUGCCUCAUUCCAUGGAAGCCCACUCUAGUAUUGAGACUUUUAUGCUAGAAAAUGAGUGUAACCUGAUUUUAUAAAAUUGUCAAAUGACAUCAUAGUAUGCAUCCAUUUUAGUUAUGGGUUAGGAAGUUAUUAAUCCACAACUAAAAUGAAAGGCAAAGGUACAUUCAUAAUCAUUUAAGACUAUAAGCAAUAGUUUUCAUGUGCUUUACCAGUAUUAAUAGCACAAUUCUUGAGUACAUGCUAUGUGCUUAUUACAUGGCUUAUAACAUGCGUCAUUCUGUGAAGAAGGUUGACAGGGUUUGACUGUGUCCCCACCCAAAUCUUAACUUGAAUUGUAGUUCCUAUAAUCCCUUAUGUCAUGGGAAGGAGGCUGUGGGAGUAAUUUAAUCAAGGGGCAGUUAUCCUCAUAUCAUUCUUGUGAUAGUGAAUGAGUUCUCACAAGUUAUGAUAGUUUUACAGGGUUUUUCCCUUUUGCUUGGCAUUUCUCCCUGUUGCCAUGUGAAGAAGGAUGUGUUUGCUUCCCCUUCUGCCAUAAUUGUAAGUUUCUUGAGGCCUCCCUAGCCAUUCAGACCUGUGAGUCAACUAAACCUAUUUCCUUUAUAAAUUAUCCUGUCUCAGGUAGUUCCUUAUUAGCAGAAUAAGAACAGACUAAUACAGUAAAUUGAUACUGGGUAUAGGGACGCUCUGUAAAGAUACCUGAAAAUGGGGAAGCAACAUUGGAACUGGGUAAUAGGCAGAGGUUGUGUUCCUGGACCAAACUGAGGGUCGAGUUGCUAUUUCUUGUGGCCCAAUAAUGAGAUACAGAUGGACUGGGGAGGAAGAGAGUUUUUAUUUCUGUAACUGGUUACAGGGAAAAGGGCUGGAGAUUAUUGCCAGACCAUUUUAAAAUUACAAAGUUUUCUAGAGCUUAUAUACCUUCUAAGUAUGUCUCCAUUUAAGUGUGCAUUUAUCUAAAUACCUAAGUGGUUAACUUCUUUUAAUCUAUAAUUAAGGUCUGACUCCUGAAGACUUUUCUCUGGAGUCUCAGUAAAUUUAAUCUAAAUGGGUCCAGGUGCUGGGGUGAUUACCCUUAUGUUGUCUCCUGCUAAAUUACAGAUAUUUGAGGAAUUCCUCCAGACCCCCCAUAAACUUGUUUCUGGUGGCCUGGGGAAUUUCUUCAGACCCACAAUAAAACUUGCUUAAUCCUAAAUGGAUCAGUCCUGUUAAGAAUUCCUUCAUAAUUUUGUCAUGCUUUAAGGCCCAGGAAAGGCCUAGGCAAAACUUCUUCAUGGCUUUUUACAUGCCAUCCUUUGUAUAAAGACACUGGCUUUUAACAUGUAACUGAAGCAUUCAGUCAUCACUGAAACAAUUAUUAGUGAGAGCUGGUCUGCCACAGUUGGAGCAGCUUGGAGGGCUCAGAAGACAGGAAAAUGUAAGAAAGUCUGGAACUUCCUAGAGACUUGGAGGGCUCAGAAGACAGAAAGAUGUUGGAAAGUUUAGAACUUCCUAGAGACUUGUUGAAUGGAUUUAACCAAAAUGCUCAUAGUGUUGUGGACAAUAAAGUCCAGGUUGAGGUGGUUUCAGAUGGUGAUGAGGGGAACUGAAAUAAAGGUGACUCUCGCUAUGCUUUAGCAUAUUGCCCCUGUCCUAGAGAUCUGUGGAGCUUAGACGUUGAAAAAGAUGAUUUAGGAUAUCUGGUGAAAGAAAUUCCUAGGUGGCAAAGUGUUUUAGAAGAAGCAGAGCAUAAAAGUUUGAAAAACUUGCAACCUGACAAUUCAGUAGAAAAGAAAACCCCAUUUUCUGGGGAGAGAUUGAAGCCAGCAGCAGAAUUUGCAUGAGUAAUGAGGAGCCAGAUGCUAAUCACCAAGACAAAGGGGAAAGUGUCUCUAGGACAUGUCAGAGGUCUUCAUGGCAGCCCCUCCCAUCACAGACCUGGAGGCCUAGAAAGGAAAAUUGGGCCAGGUCUAGGGCACUAUUCAGUUUAACAAUAUUUUAACAUUCAACUGUGAAAUUUAUCAUUAUUCAUUAUGCCUUGGCUUCUUGAAAACUCAGGUCUAACUCGGAUUCUUGAAGUGAGCCUUAAGCCUUAAUCUCCGGCUUCCCAGUUCUGGGUUCAAGGCCCCUAUGUCAGGCUACCCCAAACCCUUUGGCUUAUACCUCUCAGGGCAAUAGCUCAUUGUGCCUCUUUUUCUAACAAUUUACUCUCCAACAGAUUAAAUGUCAGAUGCCUGAAGCAUCUAACAUUCAUUCAUUCAGUCUUCUAUUUACUAAUGAAUUAUAUGACCAGGCAUGGUGGCUCAUGCCUGUAAUCUCAACACUUUGAGAGGCCAAAGCAAGUGGAUUACUGGAGCCCAGGAGUUCCAGGUCAGCCUGGGCAACAUGGCAAAACCCUGUCUCUACUAACAGUACAAAAAUUAGCCAGGCAUGGUGAUAUGCACCUGUAGUCCCAGCUACUGGGGAGGCUGAGGUAUGAGGAUGAGUUAAGCCCCAGAAGUCAAGACUGCAGUGAGCCAUAAUUAUGUCACUGCACUCUAGCCUGGGUGACAGCAUGAGACCCUGUUUCAAAUAAUAACGCUAGUAAUGAUAAUGAAAUAUGCUUUGACCUCCAUUAUAUGCCAGGUUCUGCCCCUGGAAUACAUGUGCCAUCAGGUCUUCUGUAUCUUCUAUACUUCUGGUGCUUGCAUUCUGAGGCAUGAGUGUUGCCCAAGCGGAUAUCAGUCAAAAACAAUGUGACAGACAAGAAAAACAUUUUUGCUCGACCAACCAUGCCAUCCGCAGACCCACAGGGUGAUAAAACUGAAAGGACCUGAUAUUCACAAAACCUGAAUGAAAUUAUUUGUCUUGCUGUUUGCCAGUUGUCCUAACUUGAGCAGUCAACCUAUACUCUGUGGAUCUUGAUUUUCUCAUCUGUAAAAUGUUUGAGUGGAGACUGUGACCUCUUAGGACUUGUGAGGAAUUCUACCUUCAGACACCUGCUCAAUUCCAUGGCAUCUGGGAGAAGAAGAUGAAAGCAUUAUUUCUUGACAGCCACCUAGAUUCCAACAGCAUCAUGUAACAAAUGGUGCUAAGUUAUUCAGGACCCAUGAAUCAACACUUAUUCAUGAAGGCAAUGUUUUAAACCUCAGUGGUCAGAAAAUGUUUGAGAUUUGAAAUAGUUGCUUGAGGUUGAGGCAGAGAGUAACAAAGAAUACUAAAAUUAUCAAAGAAACACCAAAAACAAAUCAAUAGCAUCUAAAUGAUCUUUAACUUCAUAGCUGGUACUAUUUCUGUCCCCUUUUUGCUUCCUAAUAGAAGUUUUUUUUUUUUUUUGGUGAUUUGGUUCUAUUAAGUUCAAGGACAUUUAAGAGAGUAGUAUGAUUAUGAUUAGAGGUACAAGCAUGACCAGAAGCACAAGUUAAUUUAUAAGUGAUUGAAUGAAAAUAAUUUU